rnacentral:rRNA from 1 species
UACAGGGGGGGCAAGCGUUGUUCGGAAUUACUGGGCGUAAAGGGCUCGUAGGUGGCCAACUAAGUCAGACGUGAAAUCCCUCAGCUUAACUGGGGAACUGCGUCUGAUACUGGAUGGCUUGAGUUUGGGAGAGGGAUGCGGAAUUCCAGGUGUAGCGGUGAAAUGCGUAGAUAUCUGGAGGAACACCGAUGGCGAAGGCAGUUCUCUGGGCCGUAACUGACGCUGAGGAGCGAAAGCGUGGGGAGCGAACAGG